AAAUACUUUUUAGUCCACAAAUUCCUAACAGGCAAUUUUUUAUUGUUUCAUCCUAUGAAUUCAUGCUUAUAUCGCUUUCCGUCAGGCGAUCGGCAAGGGCAGCACAGCACCGCCGGAGACAACACAAGCCGAGGGUCCUUUCAGCACGUGGGCCUUAUUUAUUAAUUAAAAAAAGUUUCCGUCAGGCAAUCGGCGAAGACAGCACAGCCGAGAACGCGGGAAAAUGUGGGUCCUUUGGACUCACUAUUGCUUAUCUAUUUCCCCUCACUCAGAUGUUUAGUGGAGGUAGUAGAGCUGACAGGGUCAAACGAGUGUAAUAAUUAAUCUUACUUCUUUGAGAAAGAUUUUAAUGAAAGUACGAUGUGAAUUUGUUAAAAGUGUCUUGUAUUUUUGAGUGCUUGAAAUUAGGGGCUAAGUUAGUGCAUAAUAAGAGGAAAGUCAGUGCUGUGCUAAUUACAUUUUUACGUGUAUUCUUUAAACAGUAUUAUUCUCCAAAACGGCGCAGGACGCAAGUAAGCACAGCGCAUUUUGCAGCAGGAAAAAAGAGGUUUACAUUUUUGCCGGCGCACUCCACGUGACGGUAGCCGCCCGUCUGACAGGAAGCGAAGUGCUGGAAAUGUGGCGAUCGGUGAGGGAAGCGUAACUGAGGACGUCUGAAGUCUAGAAACUUUUUUUGUCGCCAUUCCGUCAGGCGAUCUAAAGAUGGGGGCCGCUGUGAAACGGGGAGCUCUGAGUUCCCAUCGGCUCGAGGACGGCGCUCGCGCGUGCUACCUCACUGACUGUCCCUGAGGAGCCGCUCACGUGCAGUGGUAGUGGUGUGCAUGUGAGAGACGCGGGAUCACACUGUGACACUGAGGACAGGACAGGACUGGAAUGAGACGCGCCUCCGGAUCGUUCAGUCACCUGCCAGACCAGUUGGACUUUGAAGCUUCCUUUCAGAAGAUCCUUCUGGGCAAGGACCUGCUGACUCAGGUGACUGUAAUAGAGGUGUGGACCACCUGCUCUCUGCCAUCACUGUGCGUGGGAAGCCCAGUAGCUGUUCCAGGUAGAAAACCCUGCAGGGGUUUGACAUGCUCUUCAAGGUGCCCACCAUCAGCCAGGUACUUUCUAUCAUCUCAUGGUUGGCUCACAGCAGCGCAUGAAGCUAGAAUACUGAGAAUGAUGGCUCUGGGUGUGCAUCCUGUGUACUAAAUGGAUUUUACAAGUGUAAAUGUAAAGUGAAAUCGAGAGCUGUGUGGUGUCACUGUCUGUGCAGAGCAUGACAAAAUGCAGAAAACCAUAUCUUCAUAGGUUACUCCUGUAUCUUUGCAUCAUUAGGACAGCACAUCCUCCCUCUUGGUCUCGGUGUUAAUGACCUUUAACCUCACUGAGGAGGAGUGACGUGAUGUAAAAGUGUCAGGACUUUUGUGUUUUAAAUAAAAUUAUUUAUUGAAGCUGGUCUGUUCAUGGGGUUGUUAUAGUAAAAUCUUGGUUGGUUUGUUGAGAGCUGUUGUGCCACAUGUUCCCCCUCCUGCUUUGUCUCUGUUGUUACUCGUGAUUGUAAAUGCUGAGCUUGAAGCUCCUUGUCUUGUGGAAUUUUGCAAUGAAGUAAAAAAGCCUUAUUUGAAAGACAUCAAUUUGUAAUACUCUGCAAUAAUA